ACGCUCGACACCUACGUGAGGCAGCAGUGAGGAAUAUUGGUCAAUGGGCGCAGGCCUGAACCAGCCAAGUAGCGUGAAGGAUGACUGCCCUAUGGGUUGUAAACUUCUUUUAUAUGGGAAUAAAGUUUUCCACGUGUGGGAUUUUGUAUGUACCAUAUGAAUAAGGAUCGGCUAACUUCGUGCAAGCAGCCGCGGUAAUCUGAGCGGGCUGGCAAGGC
rnacentral:rRNA from 1 species